rnacentral:misc_RNA from 1 species
AAGUCGUAACAAGGUCUCCGUAGGUGAACCUGCGGAGGGAUCAUUAUCGAAUGGUCUUUGACCUUCUACCCCUCAAACCUGUGGAAGCAAAAAUGUGCUUCGGCGUCCUCUUUCGGGGCGCCGCUUUUAUGCAUCAAUAUGUGUGUCGUCUGAAUCAUACACAAGAAUCAAAACUUUCAACAAAGGAUCUCUUGGCUCUC